rnacentral:rRNA from 1 species
UGGGGAAUAUUGCACAAUGGGCGCAAGCCUGAUGCAGCGACGCCGCGUGGAGGAUGAAGGUCUUCGGAUCGUAAACUCCUGUUAAGUGGGAAGAAAGACCUCUGAUUAAUACCCAGAGGGGAUGACGGUACCACUAGAGAAAGCACCGGCAAACUUCGUGCCAGCAGCCGCGGUAAGACGAGGGGUGCAAGCGUUAUUCGGAAUUACUGGGCGUAAAGAGCGUGGAGACGGCUUUUUUAGUCAACUGUUAAAUCACCCGGCUUAACUGGGUACCAGCAGUUGAUACUGGAAGGCUAGAGCGUAGAAGAGAGAAGUGGAAUUCUCGGAGUAGCGGUAAAAUGCGUAGAUCUCGAGAGGAACACCGGUGGUGAAGACGGCUUCUUGGUCUAUUGCUGACGUUCAAGCGCGAAAGCGUGGGGAGCAAACAGG